AAAACGAAAGUAUUAUUUACAUUUAGUUUCGGCCUAGAUAAUGGCUUUCCUCGUUUUA
rnacentral:tRNA from 1 species